AGUGACGAGCGAUCAUUUUAAAGAGCAGAAUAAAAGGCUUUCCCGUGCCUGCCCCACAGCCCCUCCAGCUCGAAUAAUGGAGAACUGUCAAUGCACUCCGCGAGCGGUGGCCCAUUGUACGCAGCUGAUGGCGAGGAGGCGACUGGGGGUAGCAGGGGCUCCUUGCCCUCGUCCCUAUGCCCAAAUAAACGCGCAAACGCGCUCCCGUCUUCUGGUCAGUUAAAAGGUGAAACGAACACGAUUAAAAUAGACCAAAAGAAAAGAAAGAAAAGAAAACCUUUCUAUGUACAGAUUCUAAAUCGUACUCCCCAUACAGUCAGAGGCAGGGAGUCGAGGGCAGAGGCAGCAGGCGGAGAGAGGGAGAUAGGGCGAGGGAAGGAGAACGCGGAGAGAGACGAAGGGAGUGGGAGACCAGCGACAGCGAGCGCCAGGGCACCGCAGGCACACUGGAUGCCCGGUCCGCCGGCCCAGCCGCCCUCGGACCCUGGACCGUGCGUCGUGGGCACCAGAAACGAGACUCGGCCAAAUCCUGCCUCACCAGCAGGUAGAUGAAACUCAAGAGAAAAGGUGUGGAUAAAUGAAACUAGCCCAUGAUGAACCUGUUUUCUCCAUGACCACAAUAUUAACCAGGAUGAUGGCGAUACACUGCCUCUAGGACUGGGACAGAUAGCCACUGAGUACCUGCUUCAAAUCACCCUGCACGUUUUCUCUUUGGAAAGAUAAGCACUGGAGAACCAUCUCGUUACCUUCAGCAAAAAUGGAAACAAAUCAAGACAUUAAGAAUGCCACAGUGGACAGCAGUUAUGCAAGGUUCAGCAGAGGAAGUUUUCAAGAUGGUGUGCCUCACUAGCCAGAAAUCAG
rnacentral:antisense_RNA from 1 species